rnacentral:lncRNA from 1 species
AAUACCAUAUACAGAAAUCGUUACAAAAUUACAAAAAAGUUGACUUUGACUUACUGUUGACUUUGGCCAACCGGAUGCCCAAAGUCAACUGACCUAAUUCCUAAACCUAAUGACAAGUUCCUUAUGGUCUUCAUUUUUUCGUCCUUUCAUUUGACUUCAUGGACAAGAUUUCUUCAUGUGCAAGUAACCCUUUGUUUCUUCAGGUCAUCACCAUGAACCUUCAUGAUACCCUCAUGCCAAACAUUCUUAAGUCAUGACCAAGCUCCAAACAACAUCAGCCAUGCAAUGCACCAGUAAUAUAAAUUAAGAAGCCAUAAAAUCCAUGUUAAGUUCAGUUCAAAAAAGCAUUUUUCAUAGCAAACAUUCACAUAACAUGUUAAUGCUUCUAAUGUCAACAUGAUUUCCAAUAAGAAAUAAGCAAGCAAUUUUGAAUAGCUUCAUGACCAAUCCUGUCCAUAAUUCAUUCAUGUAACAAUGCAUCAUUUAGCAUAGUGCAGUAGGUAAUUCAAAAUUCAAUUCACUGACAUGACCAAUUGAACAUUUCCUAAUAGAAGAGCAUAUGACAACAAGAUCAAUUUGGGAUGAGUUCUUGACAAUGUCAAAUUUAUUUCAGAAAGUUCAUACACUAACAACGAUUCAGUUCAUAACAAGGUUCAUUGACAAUCAAUAAGCAUACAUGACAUUCAACCAUAAUUUCACAAAUGUAUCAACCAUUAAGCAUACACUAUAGUAGUCCAUUUAAUCAUUCCAAAUAUCCAAAUCAUAAGUAAAAUCAGUGAUAAAUGAAUUCAAUUCAAAACGUCAUUCAAUGCCUAGCAUGAUUGUAUGAUAAACCUACUGUUAUAGCCAGCCCAAAAUCAAACAUUAUAACCUACUAUAUUAUAAACAUUUCACUAAACUGAAUUCAUCAUUAACACUAGUAGAAAACUCACAUAUUCUAAACUAGCAACAUUAAACUUAUUGCAUCGAACAACUAACUGCAAGCCAAUUCUAAUCUAACUAACUCCAAACUUACUUUCCUAACCGACUUUCUAACAAAAAUCUUACAAAACUAUUAACCCUAACUGAUUUUCAAACAACAACUAACAACUAUCAUAACUGAAUCAUGAUUCUCCAAGCUACAGAUUAAGUUCACUACAACUUAAUUGCACAUCAAUAAAUCCAUCUACAAUCCUAAUUCUCAGGGUUCACCAAUGUUCAUUCAAUCAUCACACAAUACUCGUUGAGAAUUUCCCAGAAAUCACUAAGAAAUCUCUCAUUAACUCUCAAUUCUCUCUCAUCACUCACCAACACACAACACCUCUCAUCACUCACAGAGUAAUUUAUAGAGCAGGAACACAUUAUAGAGCAUAUAAAUUUCCUAGAGACUGAAGAAUUGGGAAAAGAAGAAGAAGGUAAUGGUGGGAAGCAUUUACCUUGUUCGAAGCACACUGUUCUCUCUACACUUCAACCUCCAAUUUUCUCUGGUAGGCUCACAUUAAUUCCCUUUGUUCUAUUUGAUUCCUUGCUGUCAGUUGAUUUUAGGAGAGAGGUAGAGUGAUAUCCUAUGGUUGUGGACGGGGAUUAGUUUAUUGAGCUUAAUUUUUGAUUUUGGAUUUUAGGGGUCUUAUUGGUUUGGUUUCGAAUCAUUUUUAUGGUGAGGAGUUAGAAGGAAUUAAUAUGGUUAUUGGGUACAGGGUGUUGAAAUGAUUGAUUUGAUGUAAGAAUUUCUUGAUUUGGCCCUCCGUUGUUGCCGAAGGAGAUUUCUGGCGCGACAGAUACUUUUUUCUCAGGCC